rnacentral:rRNA from 1 species
AGAGUUUGAUUCCUGGCUCAGGAUGAACGCUAGCGGCAGGCCUAACACAUGCAAGUCGAGGGGUAGAAGGAGCUUGCUUUUUUGAGACCGGCGCACGGGUGAGUAACGCGUAUGCAACCUACCUUAUACAGGGGAAUAGCCCGAAGAAAUUCGGAUUAAUGCUCCAUGGUUUAUCGAUAUGGCAUCGUAUUGAUAAUAAAGAUUUAUCGGUAUAAGAUGGGCAUGCGUAUCAUUAGCUAGUUGGUGUGGUAACGGCAUACCAAGGCAACGAUGAUUAGGGGUCCUGAGAGGGAGAUCCCCCACACUGGUACUGAGACACGGACCAGACUCCUACGGGAGGCAGCAGUGAGGAAUAUUGGUCAAUGGAGGCAACUCUGAACCAGCCAUGCCGCGUGCAGGAUGACGGUCCUAUGGAUUGUAAACUGCUUUUGUACAGGAAGAAACCUCCCUACGAGUAGGGACUUGACGGUACUGUAAGAAUAAGGAUCGGCUAACUCCGUGCCAGCAGCCGCGGUAAUACGGAGGAUCCGAGCGUUAUCCGGAAUUAUUGGGUUUAAAGGGUUCGUAGGCGGCUUUGUAAGUCAGUGGUGAAAUUUCCUAGCUUAACUAGGACACUGCCAUUGAUACUGCAGAGCUUGAAUAAUAUGGAAGUAACUAGAAUAUGUAGUGUAGCGGUGAAAUGCUUAGAUAUUACAUGGAAUACCAAUUGCGAAGGCAGGUUACUACGUAUUUAUUGACGCUGAUGAACGAAAGCGUGGGGAGCGAACAGGAUUAGAUACCCUGGUAGUCCACGCCGUAAACGAUGGAUACUAGCUGUUCGGUUUUCGGACUGAGUGGCUAAGCGAAAGUGAUAAGUAUCCCAUCCUGG